GGGGGCGGGCCGCGGGCGCGGGGGUGGUGGAGUUCGGUCCCAGCGCCCACCCCACCCCCUCGCUCCCCUGCGGCUCCCCGUGGACUCCCCAGCCGUGAAGCGGGUCUCCUCGGAGCUGACCCACCCUCCCCUCCCGCUCCCGCUUUCCCUCCGCUUCGGGGAGCGGGCGGGCUGGGCAUUUGGGGCCGCUGAAGGCAUUUUCCACAAGUAAGUCCAUUUCUCUUCCCCGAGGUCUCUUCACCAAGACGCCUGAGCUCGCCGUAAUUGUUAAAGGGGGGAAGAUGGAUGUUUCUGGACCCCUUUAAAUUGUUGGCAAGCCCAACUUGGGUGCUUUGUCGGCUCCCCGGAGCCGAUCCGUCCGGCCCGGCCGCCAGCCGGCAAGAGGCUGCCCCGGUGUGGCCGCAAGUCGCCACUGCUUUGUCAACCUUACACGGAACAAAACCAACGCAGCGCCCGCUCUGAGUACACAGCCGCCCACUCGAAAACAGCGUGGUUCUUCGAAUAAAAGGCAGCUCUUUUGUGAGCCGCAACGUGAAGUCUCAGACUCAAGUUUAAGAAAGCUCAUGAAGCAAACAUUUUGAAGAUGGACAUGUGCCUGUAAAACCCGGUGUCAUCUUGGAACUUAGAGACAUUCAUUGAUACAUAGAGGAAUCUCACAGAUUUAAGGCUUUCUGAACUGGCUCUGUGUACAUACAUGUACGUGUGUGCCUGAAGGAUAUGAAACAUUCCUGCUCGGAGCUGAAUUUUGUGAUCGCUCUUGCACCACUGUGUUUAAACAAAUUCACAGAAUGUGAUGCUUAACUGCUACACUGAGAUCUGCAGGAGGACGACUUCAUUGAACUCCUUGCUCUGCAACAUGAGGAGCUUACUAAUGAAGUACUGAUGGAAUUGGAGGCCCAGAGAAAGGACGAAGAGAGACAAGAGGAAGAAGUAACUGAAGAACUGAAGAGAUUCACAGUACAGGAAAUGGCAAGGGGAUUUUCUGUAUUUGAGGAGUCAGUGUUAGUUUUUGAGGCAAAGGACCUGAACGUAGAACGGUACACGAAGGUUGCAGCAGCCAUUCAGAACUCAAUCCAGUGCUACCGUCUCAUCUAUGAUGAGAAAAAAAGAGCUACUACCCAGAUAUAGAAUUGAAUCCAGCAAGGAACCAAAACCGGUGCCAUCAAUGUUAGGCAUGAGUGAAAUUUCUGCUUGCCCUCCGUCUCCUAUUGCUGACGAUCCUUCAGCUCUACCAUCUCCCACCUCCUCUCCCUCCUCCAGUCAGUAACUCUUCUUGCCUGUUCACUCAAUGCCAGCCCCUAUAUGCCAGCUAUUGUACUGUACUACUGUACUUUUCAAGGUACUGUACUGUAAGAUUAAAAAUGUUUAUUUUUUGUGUUUGUUUUUUACGUAUUGUGUGAAAAGUAUUAUAAACCUAUUACAGUACAGUACUAAUAACCAAUUGUGUUAGUUGGGUCCUUAGGCUAACUUUGUUGGACUUACGAACAAAUGGGACUUACCAACAUGCUCCUGCAAUGGAACUAGUUCAUACAUAGGGGACUUACUGUAUCAAUUUGAUACAUUUAUAUUACAGUAUGAUUGUCAUUAAGCUAACACUAUCACAUCACAUAAAUAUAAUUUUUUCUAGUGGUGGGAACAAUUAACAUAGCAGAUUUUUUAAAUUAGAGCUUGUAGAAAUAAAAAAAUUCAAUGACUAAAAUUAAAAUCUCAACGGGCAUAUUAAGCAUCACUGAAGAAAGAAUUAAUGAACUGGAAGACAGGUCUGGAGAAAUUAUGCAGAAUAUAGCACAGAGAUGGAAAAUAUAAAUGGGAAAUUAAAAGAUACAGAAGACAGAGUUAAAAGGUCUCACAUUUGCCUAAUCAGUUUCAGAAGGACAGGAGAGCGAGAUUGGGGCUACAAAAUGGAACAUGAAUUUUAUCUUGAGAGCAAAAACAAACCAUUAAAAGAUUUUAAGUAGAGCAUUGAGUCAGGUUGUUAUGAAAGAUGAUGCUUUUUCACUUUUCAAGGGUGUCUGGCUGAGGGGACAAAGGGGCUGCAAUGGAGCCUGUGUUCUAUUCACCAGGACAUGUGCCUGAUGAGGGGUGGCAUCUGCCUGGAGAAAGGGAAGCAUUCUUCUAAUGCCCACGGAGACACCAUAUGGCUCGUCAUAGUCCUGGCCCUGGCAUAAUGGGCUUCAAGUUUUUCUCUUUGGAUGUAGUGUAGAAAAUGGCUUUUCCCAAAGAAAAGUGUCAUCAGAUCAGUUUUUUCAUCAUUUCUGCAAAGGUCAGCUUUCGAGACUUUUCUUCUUCAUGUGCAGCCAAAAGGUCACACUACUAAGAAACACACAUAUCCAAAUUUACUUGUUUCCUGUGAGGUUAAUUAAAGCCAUUUUGUCCUUGAUCUGGACUCUGCCUUAGGCAGAGUUCUGCUAUUGUCUUCCUCCAUAGCUGUUUUUUUCUCUUCUCAUCCCUCCUGAAUACAUUUUGGACUAGGAAGAGGAAUUUCAUCUUCUUUUCCUGGAAUAGGUAAUGCAAUAUGGGCAUCACUGCAUUCUGAAACAUGUAAGCUAUUUUCUUUACCUUCCAUAUCCAAAAGGCAAUCACUGUUCAUGACCUUGUGUAUUAUCUGAAGUCAUUAGUUGAAAGAGCAAUUUGAUAUUUCAUCAGCUGACACAUUAUAUUACAUGUGUUUUAGUAAGUGAGGGACAGUGGUGAAUGGCUCAACUUGAAAUAUUAGAAAAGAGAGACUGUUAGGGUUGAGAUAGUUUACAACCCUCAGAAUAGGAAUUAGUGGUAGAAAAUAAAGAAAGAAGUUAAUGUGGUGCUAAAUAUACUGAAGGAAGGUAAAGCAGGGGGCCGGAGUUCACUCUGGUGUCUAUUAGGAGGGAGACGCUGAGAUCUGGGUAAGGAGUGGGUCCCUCUGGAGUUGAAAUUAGCAGGAAUAGUGUUAAAUAUGCAUAGUCCUAGAUCUUGGGGAAGGGGUUUGAGAAAUGUCUACUGAGCUAGAUCAAACAUCCAAAUCAUCUGGGCUGCUCUCCAGUAAAAGAGCCAGGAGGUCAGCCCCUAUUCAUAAAAUCAGAAAGACAACAAACAUUUGCAUGUCAGAGAACCAGCAUCAGGAAAUGAAAGCAUCUUAUUUGCUGCAAAUCAGGACAAAUGUACAGUAUCUCGUGGAAACUGCAGGGAAGGGAGAUGUUUCUACUGAAGAAGGGAUGGUAAAUUGAAUUAAUUACAUAGCACCCAUUAGUACUAAUUAAAAGAUGUGUAAUGAAUGCAUCAUUGGUAUUUUCUUAUUUAGGAUACUCUUGGCUGUUCAUUUUCUUUCC